rnacentral:tRNA from 1 species
GGGCCCGUAGCUCAGCAUGGAUAGAGCGGCAGCCUCCGGAGCUGCAUGCCCCGGGUUCAAGUCCCGGCGGGCCCGCCA